rnacentral:rRNA from 1 species
CGGACGGGUGAGUAACGCGUGAGAAUCUGCCUUCAGGACGGAGACAACAGUUGGAAACGACUGCUAAGCCCCGAUGUACCGAAAGGGAAAAUAUUUAUAGCCUGAAGAUGAGCUCGCGUCCGAUUAGCUAGUUGGAGAGGUAAAAGCUCACCAAGGCGACGAUCGGUAGCUGGUCUGAGAGGACGAUCAGCCACACUGGGACUGAGACACGGCCCAG